rnacentral:rRNA from 1 species
AUUGAACGCUGGCGGCAGGCCUAACACAUGCAAGUCGAACGAGUGGCGGACGGGUGAGUAAUGUCUGGGACACUGCCCGAUGGAGGGGGAUAACUACUGGAAACGGUAGCUAAUACCGCAUACCAUCGGAUGUGCCCAGAUGGGAUAAGCUAGUAGGUGGGGUAAUGGCUCACCUAGGCGACGAUCCCUAGCUGGUCGGAGAGGAUGACCAGCGACACGGGAACUGAGACACGGUCCAGAAUCCUACGGGAGGCAGCAGUGGGGAAUAAUUCACAAUGGGCGCAAGCCUGAUGCAGCCAUGCCGCGGGUAUGAAGAAGGCCUUCGGGUUGUAAAGUACUUUAAGCGAGGAGGCGUUACGCGCAGAAGAAGCACCGGCUAACUCCGUGCCAGAAGCGGCGGUAAUUC